rnacentral:rRNA from 1 species
CACGUAGGGCGCAAGCGUUGUCCGGAAUUAUUGGGCGUAAAGGGCGCGUAGGCGGCGCGGUAAGUCGGGUGUGAAAUCUCGGAGCUUAACUCCGAAACUGCAUUCGAUACUGCCGUGCUUGAGGACUGGAGAGGAGACUGGAAUUUACGGUGUAGCGGUGAAAUGCGUAGAUAUCGUAAGGAAGACCAGUGGCGAAGGCGGGUCUCUGGACAGUUCCUGACGCUGAGGCACGAAGGCCAGGGGAGCAAACGGG